GACGAACCGAGCGAACGUUGUUCGGAAUCACUGGGCUUAAAGGGCGCGUAGGCGGGUGCUCAAGUCCGUGGUGAAAUCCUCCGGCUCAACCGGAGAACUGCCUCGGAUACUGGGCGUCUCGAGUGUGGUAGGGGGUAUGCGGAACUAUCGGUGGAGCGGUGAAAUGCGUUGAUAUCGAUAGGAACUCCGGUGGCGAAGGCGGCAUACUGGACCACCCACUGACGCUGAUGCGCGAAAAGCCAGGGGGAGCAAAACGGGG
rnacentral:rRNA from 1 species